rnacentral:rRNA from 1 species
AGUUUGAUCCUGGCUCAGAAUGAACGCUGGCGGUAGGCUUANCNCCUGCAAGUCGAACGGAAACGAUGAAAAGCUUGCUUUUCAGGCGUCGAGUGGCGGACGGGUGAGUAACGCGUGGGAAUCUACCCUAUAGUUGGGGACAACAUAUGGAAACGUAUGCUAAUACCGAAUGUGAUCUACGGAUUAAAGGAGCCCUCUUCAUGAAAGGUUUCGCUAUAGGAUGAGCCCGCGUUAGAUUAGCUAGUUGGUGAGGUAAAGGCUCACCAAGGCCACGAUCUAUAGCUGGUUUGAGAGGAUGAUCAGCCACACUGGGACUGAGACACGGCCCAGACUCCUACGGGAGGCAGCAGUGGGGAAUAUUGCACAAUGGACGCAAGUCUGAUGCAGCCAUACCGCGUGUGUGAAGAAGGCCCCGAGGGUUGUAAAGCACUUUCAGUUACGGAGGAAGAUAGUAAGGUUAAUACCCUUAUUGUUUGACGU